rnacentral:rRNA from 1 species
UACGUAGGGUGCGAGCGUUGUCCGGAAUUAUUGGGCGUAAAGAGCUCGUAGGCGGCUUGUCGCGUCGGAUGUGAAAGCCCGGGGCUUAACCCUGAGCCUGCUUCCGAUACGGGCAGACUAGAGGUAUGCAGGGGAGAACGGAAUUCCUGGUGUAGCGGUGAAAUGCGCAGAUAUCAGGAGGAACACCGGUGGCGAAGGCGGGUCUCUGGGCCGAAACUGACGCUGAGGAGCGAAAGCGUGGGGAGCAAACAGG